CUUAGUGGCGCAGCUAACGCACUAAGUAGACCGCCUGGGGAGUACGGCCGCAAGGUUAAAACUCAAAUGAAUUGACGGGGGCCCGCACAAGCGGUGGAGCAUGUGGUUUAAUUCGACGCAACGCGAAGAACCUUACCUGGCCUUGACAUGCAGAGAACUUUCCAGAGAUGGAUUGGUGCCUUCGGGAACUCUGACACAGGUGCUGCAUGGCCGUCGUCAGCUCGUGUCGUGAGAUGUUGGGUUAAGUCCCGUAACGAGCGCAACCCCUAUCCCUAGUUGCUAGCAGUUCGGCUGAGAACUCUAGGGAGACUGCCGGUGACAAACCGGAGGAAGGUGGGGAUGACGUCAGGUCAUCAUGGCCCUUACGGCCAGGGCUACACACGUGCUACAAUGGUGCGUACAGAGGGCUGCAAACCCGCGAGGGGGAGCUAAUCUCACAAAACGCAUCGUAGUCCGGAUCGGAGUCUGCAACUCGACUCCGUGAAGUCGGAAUCGCUAGUAAUCGCGAAUCAGAAUGUCGCGGUGAAUACGUUCCCGGGCCUUGUACACACCGCCCGUCACACCAUGGGAGUGGAUUGCACCAGAAGUGGUUAGUCUAACCUUCGGGAGGACGAU
rnacentral:rRNA from 1 species